rnacentral:rRNA from 1 species
UACGUAGGGGGCAAGCGUUAUCCGGAUUUACUGGGUGUAAAGGGAGCGUAGACGGCACUGCAAGUCUGGAGUGAAAGCCCGGGGCUCAACCCCGGGACUGCUUUGGAAACUGUGGUGCUAGAGUGCAGGAGAGGUAAGUGGAAUUCCUAGUGUAGCGGUGAAAUGCGUAGAUAUUAGGAGGAACACCAGUGGCGAAGGCGGCUUACUGGACUGUAACUGACGUUGAGGCUCGAAAGCGUGGGGAGCAAACAGG